rnacentral:rRNA from 1 species
AGAGUUUGAUCCUGGCUCAGAAUGAACGCUAGCGAUAUGCUUAACACAUGCAAGUCGAACGUUGUUUUCGGUCGUCCCCGGUUGAAGACAAAGUGGCGAACGGGUGCGUAACGCGUGGGAAUCUGCCAAACAGUUUGGGCCGAAUCCCAAAGAAACGAAAGCAAAAAAGCUUCGAUAAAGCUAAAAAGCGCUGUUUGAUG